UGGGAUGAGACAAAUGGUCCUUGGAAGGUGUCUCUCUCUCCAGUGACCGCAACAGCAACCCAGAAAUGCUGCAGAGUGAGCUCUAGGCUUUCUUUGAGAACAGGAUCUGACCAAAGACCACCUGUGCAAUGGGAAAACCUGGAUCUUUAUGGUGUAUGAGCCUUGACCCCAACCUCUGAAGGAGGAAUCAGACCUGGAGAAAAGUUCCUGCAAUUCAAAGAAAUGAAGUGGCAACUUCUGGGAGAAGAAUGUUGAAACUCAAACCUGGAUUUCUAGCCUGAGUGUCCAUCAGGCCUUGAUAACCAAGCUGCACCAGGAAGAUGAGCAAUAACUGCAUUGCCAUGUGCCAGGGACCAAUGGGCAGAACACCCUGCAGGGGCCUCAGAAGGCUCCCAGCUUGCCUGGUAUCCAUGAAUCCAAAUGGAAAAGAGAAAACGGCAAAUGACACUCAAUCCCAAAGUGAGCCAAUCUGUCCUUGUACCCAGAGAAACAACUGACAGCUGACACAGGAUGGGACCUGCAGGGAUUUCUGCAGGAGCAAAGGCUCCUCUGGGGAAGAUUAAAGCUCAGUGCAAACCCCAAGGUCACUUCUACAUGAGCAGUGGGAAGGGAACAGGGUAAAACUUGGGAUCACCUGAGCUUGCUGGCAUCCAGCAGGGUUGGGGUUUAUUGCACUGGAGAUUCCACAAAACUUUCACCCACCAGGAGCUCUGGGCUCUGCAGAGUCUGAUGGAUAUCCUGAAAAAUUUUGGAGUGACAUUUUGGAGGGUAGCUGGCAAAACACGAGCCAGCAAGACAUUGUAGAAAGAUGAAUUCAUAAGCAGAAAGUUUUAGAGAGGGUACUUGAGGAUGAAAGAGUGGUUCCACCAACCUUCACCAUUCAUUUAUUUAAAUUUAUGCUACAAAAUGGACAGCAGAGGAAAGUCAAAACUUGCACUGAUGAUUUUUCAUUCUCUUCCCCCCACUGCCCCUGAUCUUUUAUUUAUGAAACUGGUCUGGGUGCACCUUUCAAAUGACUUUUUUUGGCUUACUGUUUAUUACGUCUUCAUCAGCCUUGAAAUGGCAGCUGCAGGCAGCUUGAUAAAUGGAUGGAAAAGCUGCUUCUGCCAGAGUCAAACUAACAAAAACCCCUCAGCAUCCAUAAGGGUUUUUGUUUUAGCAUUUCUAAAACAAGCACUAUUUCCCUCAAAGCAUCACUGAAGAGUGAUGCUCCAGUAGCCCUGAGUGUUUCAACAAAGGGAUUUUUUAAUCCAGUGAUGCCCAGGGCAGAAGUUCCUCACUGGGUCAUGGACAGGACUCAGCCUGCAGCUCUGGAGAGCAAGGGCAGAGAAAGAGAGAGAGAGACAGGGGGAGAGAGAGAGAGAUGUGGUCUUAGGAAGGCUGAGAAAAUCACUCCAAAAUGUGCUGGGCAGAUCAAUGGAGUAAAUGAGGCAAAAUGUAUGAAGUUGGGUCCUGCUCACAGAGACUUGCAGCUUUCAUGCAGCUAUUUUUUACCCAGAUACUUUCUGAACUCUUCAUUUCCUCCCAAUCCUUCUUUAAAUAUGAACAGCUCAAUACAUCCCUGCUUCAAACCUUUUGUCCUUAGCACAUUUAUAUUCCACAGCUGGCCCAGCCUGGCAGUAAACAAGGGUUUAGCUACUGUGGCUUAUUGACAGUGGUGAAUGGUUCAGUCCCAUCUGUGAAGGUAUAAAAUACCCACAAGAAAAUAAAUACCCCAUAAGAAAGUGGUAAGGAACCAUCCAGGUGAAAACCUGUCGUGUUAUCUGCUGCAGCUUACAGCACAAAUGUUGCAGCAAAGAAGGGAGACAGGGGAAAUCCACCACCACAAAAACCAACCAACCAACCAACCAA